rnacentral:lncRNA from 1 species
GGGGGGGGGGGAAGGGAGGGGGAAGGAAGGCUCGGGAGGGCGCUCGGAGUCCGGACAGGCGGCUACGGGGAAGCUCCCCCCCCUGCGAGGGAUCCGGGCCGGGGAGGGGGGGGCCGCCGAGCUGUGAGGGCCGAGGGCUCAAUCCGAAUUGCCGGCGUCCCGCUCCGGAUCGCCACCGGCCGCCAUCUUGUUUCUUCGUCUCUGCCUCGGCUCGCUCCGCUCUGACUGGGGGAAGCGGCGGCGGCAGCAGGCCCCGAGCGCCUCACGUGACCGGCCGCGCCCGCCUGCCGCCGCCAGGGGGCGCCGCCACCACCAGCCGCGAGAGCCAUGUUGGAGCCGGCGCGCUGGGGCGGCUCCGCGCUCCCCCCCCGCCUCCCCCCGCCUCCUCCUCCUCCUCCUCCUCCUCCUCCCCGGCUGCUCCCCGCCGCGCUGCCCGGCCCCUGCCCGCCCCACCGCCGCUUUCCUCCGCGCUCCCUUGGCCGCUCUCCCCUCCACCGGCACGCAGUCUGCCCCCCUCACGCCCACCCCAGCUCUUACCGCCGCCUGCCACGAGGCGCUGCCCGGCCACCGCUGCCCACCACGAGGCUCUCCCUCAGCCCCGGCGCCGGGCGCUCCCGGGGCGCCCCGCCGCGCUCCCCCGACGGCGGCUGAAGCUGCGCCACGACCACCAACCUCCCCCCCACCCCCGGGUCCCCCUCGGCCUCACCGUCUCCCUAUACCUGAAGAGCGACGCCCGUUACCGGUCCUCUCUCCCAGAGCCCCUCGGGCUGCCGCCCCUCAGCUCCGAGUCCCACGGCUGCCUCAGCCGGCCGCGCACCCCUGCAGGGGACAGCUGUGAGCGCAGGUAGGCGACGGGCUCGGCUCUGCCCUCCCCUCCGCCCCGGGCAGGGGCUCAUUACGAGGCUCUCCCCUCCCGCCGCAGCGCCCGCCAAAACUAGAGCCACCAGGUCUACCCCCUCAGGAGAGGUUUCCCUCCUUCACCGCCCUGAGGCAGCGGCCGCCCGG